rnacentral:lncRNA from 1 species
UAGUAAGUAGAUGCUGAUGAAUAAAAGGUCUACUUGUCUUGGCGUACCGCCCGUUACUAUUGAGCCUCUAACUUUCAAGUAGCAUAAUUAGCAUUGCGGUGCGUUCAUAAUUCUAUCAAUUGCCCAGCUGUAAUUUGUUUAGCCAAGCAUAGUUGUUUAUCGUCUUUUGGGAGAGCGACAUCACUAGUGAACAUCAUGCGAC